rnacentral:rRNA from 1 species
UACGGAGGGUGCGAGCGUUGUCCGGAAUCAUUGGGCGUAAAGGGCGCGUAGGUGGCCCGGUCAGUUCGUGGUGAAAGCGCGGGGCUCAACCCUGCGUCGGCCAUGAAUACUGCCGCGGCUGGAGCACUGUAGAGGCAGGCGGAAUUCCGGGUGUAGCGGUGGAAUGCGUAGAGAUCCGGAAGAACACCGGUGGCGAAGGCGGCCUGCUGGGCAGUUGCUGACACUGAG